GUUCAAUUUGGCAAAUAUGUAUUGAAUGAUGACUUUUUGACAAUUUCUCGUAAGAGCCUUCCUUCAGUAAUCACUUACACCAGAAUUUCAUGUCAAGCACUGCUUCAAGAGAUCCUAGCCCAGGACAUCCACCCCUCAAAAGACUGCGUCUCUCAGACUUAACAAAUAAAUAAUCAUACUUUGUGUAGUAAAGAAAUAUUUUAACAAAUGAAUACAGAGUGUUUGGAAAUGAAGUAAUGCACAAAGAUAUACCAUGCAAAUAUGAACAAAAAAGAUGCUUUUGUAACAAUUUUAAGCCCAAGUAAAAAGCCAAUAGAUACCAAUGAAGAAAUGAAUAGUGUUAUGUUUAUACAAGGUUCAUUGAGCAAUAAAAUACUAGUGAAGUUGAAGUGUCUCUGAAUGAAGAAUCAGGUUAAUAAUAGCUGAUUCUAUGUUUUUCAAAUGUCAUUGAUGCUAAUUAUUUUAUUUCACAGACAUUAUAUUCUUCACUCCCACUUUCAAAUUUGAGGAUUUCCACAGAUCUCUAAGAGCAAUUGGUAAAAGCAAAUUGUGUAUCAAGUCCUUCUCAGUGAUUCAGGAAGUUUAGACAACUGUUUUAUUCCAAAUUAAAGUGUGAAACUUGCACAGCUCUAAUUGUGUUAGCUU
rnacentral:lncRNA from 1 species